rnacentral:rRNA from 1 species
UACGUAGGGACCGAGCGUUGUCCGGAAUCAUUGGGCGUAAAGAGCUCGUAGGUGGUUUGUCGCGUUGUUCGUGAAAACCGGGGGCUUAACCCUCGGCGUGCGGGCGAUACGGGCAGACUGGAGUACUGCAGGGGAGACUGGAAUUCCUGGUGUAGCGGUGGAAUGCGCAGAUAUCAGGAGGAACACCGGUGGCGAAGGCGGGUCUCUGGGCCGUAACUGACGCUGAGGAGCGAAAGCAUGGGGAGCGAACAGG